UACAGAGGAUGCAAGCGUUAUCCGGAAUGAUUGGGCGUAAAGCGUCUGUAGGUGGCUUUUUAAGUCCGCCGUCAAAUCCCAGGGCUCAACUCUGGACAGGCGGUGGAAACUACCAAGCUGGAGUACGGUAGGGGCAGAGGGAAUUUCCGGUGGAGCGGUGAAAUGCGUAGAGAUCGGGAAGAACAUCGGUGGCGAAAGCGCUCUGCUGGACUGCAACUGACACUCAGGGACGAAAGCUAGGGGAGCGAAUGGG
rnacentral:rRNA from 1 species